UUUAGGGUUUUCUUAAUUUUAAUCACCUGUCAGGGUUUAGAUUUUUGAUGGGUAUUUGCAGUUAUUGUUGUUUAUCUAGGAUAACUGCUGGGUACUUAUUUUGCUCCUUCCAUAUUUGUGAAUAUGAGUAUUUGAUGUUAUCAGCAUUGGAAAAAGCAUGAUCUCAAAUUAUAUCGUCCUGCACAUGCUUUUACUCUUGUGGUUAUCUGGGUCUUGAUGUGUUUAGAAAACAUGAGGGACAAGGAAAUGGAUGCCCAUGUGUUGGUUAUUAUGAACUCUUUAGUUCGCAAUUUUAAUGGUAGAAGAAUUACAAACACAGAGGGAUAAAUGUGAUAUGAGAAAGGUUUUCUUCUCUGGUUCUAUUCAUUACCCACGUAGUUCUCCAGAGGAGCGGCCUGAGAUCUUAAAUAAAGCCAAACACGGAGGGCUAAAUGUGUUCCAGACAUACGUCUUCUGGAACAUCCAUGAACCUGUACAAGGACAGUUCAAUUUUGAACGGAAGUGUGAUAGAGUUAAAUUCAUCAGUCUUAUCCAAAAGACUAGUAUUUAUGUAAUCCUCAGGAGCGUACCAUUCAUUGAAGUAUAAUGGAACAUCGGAUGAUUUCAAUAUUGGCUUAAAGAGAUUCUGGGAAUAACAUUCCGUGUAGAUGAAGACAACUAGGUUUCUAGGUUCUGGACUUCGAUUUUGAGAAAAAAUGUUCCUCCUCUGAUGCAAAUUUGAACGUGUAUGCAUGUUUAGUAUGUGGGAAGUAUUACCAAGGUAGGGGUCCUAAUACUCGUGCACAUACUCAUAGCCGUAAAGAAGAACACCAUGUUUAUGUCAAUCUUCAAACGAAAAUAUUUUAUUGCCUCCAGAUGGAUAUGAGAUAUUCGACAUGUUUUGAAUCCAAGAACUCCAGAUCACAAUGAAGUUAAAAGCAUACUUUUCAGCAUGGCAAAGGACAAAGCUCCAGGACCUGAUGGCUUCCCUCCAAAUUUCAACUGUGAUAUAAUUGGAGAAGACAUUGUCAAUAUGGUGCAACACUUCUUCAUGUCUUGCCAUAUGCUAAAAGAAAUGAAUGCAACCUUCAUAUCUCUCAUUCCCAAAGUGGAAAAUCCUACUUCCCCAAGUCAAUUCAGACCUAUCAGCCUCUGUAAUACUACCUAUAAAAUCAUUUCCAAACUCAUAUCCCAGAGAAUGAAACCCUAUCCCAACAAAAUAAUAUCCCCUUACCAAUCUUCUUUCAUACCUGGGAGACAAAUUUCUGACAAUAUUUUUAUUGCUCAUGAACUUAUACACUGUAUAAGAUCCAAAAGAGGUGCCAAAGUUGAGAAUGGGAAUAUGGAUAUAAAGAUUGACAUGGCAAAAGCUUUUGACAGAGUUGAUUGGAUUUUCCUCAAUACUAUUAUGAAAAAGAUGGGUUUCAAUGAUCAAUGGUGCAAAAAAAUUAUGUAAUGCAUCACCACCACUACUUCAGUUGUUCUCAUAAAUGGCUCUCCAGACUCUUUCUUCAACCCCUCAAGAGGAUUAAGACAGGGAGACCCUUUAUCCCCAUAUCUCUUUCUUUUUUGCAUGGAAGCUCUUUCUAGAACCCUUAUUCAUGUUGAGGAUUUGGGUAUCAUUACUGGAAUAAAAAUAUGCGGAGGUGCUCCCUCCAUUAAUCA